rnacentral:rRNA from 1 species
CCUACGGGAGGCAGCAGUGAGGAAUAUUGGUCAAUGGGCGCGAGCCUGAACCAGCCAAGUCGCGUGAGGGAGGACGGCCCUACGGGUUGUAAACCUCUUUUGCCGGGGAGCAAAGGGAGUCACGUGUGGCGCCACUGAGAGUACCCGGAGAAAAAGCAUCGGCUAACUCCGUGCCAGCACCCGCGGUAAUACGGAGGAUGCGAGCGUUAUCCGGAUUUACUGGGUGUAAAGGGCGUGCAGGCGGGAAGACAAGUCAGAUGUGAAAUCCUGCGGCUCAACCGCGGAACUGCAGUUGAAACUGGUUUUCUUGAGUACCGUAGAGGUCAGCGGAAUUCGUGGUGUAGCGGUGAAAUGCGUAGAUAUAAGGAAGAACACCAGGGGCGAAGGCGGAUGACUGGACGGCAACUGACGGUGAGGCGCGAAAGCGUGGGGAGCAAACAGGAUUAGAUACCCGGGUAGUC